rnacentral:lncRNA from 1 species
AUUUUACAAUAAUUUAGUUUAAGUUCAGCAUAUAUCGAAAUUAUAUUAAAAAAUAUAGUUCACCGAUGAGUUAAAAGAGAUAUUUCAAUUUUAAAGCCAAAAAAUGGCAUUUUUCCACCAAAGGGAGAUAAUUUGGAACUUUUUCAAUGAUGUUUACAUUUUAAAAGUCAUCUGAAGCCAACACGAAUUAAUUGUUUUGAAUGUUUUUUGUACCAUAUGAUAAAGUAACAACUACAAAAGGUAAUAAAUAAAAUUUGUAAUGAAAAACAAAUGUUUAAUUUUUUUCUGAAAUUUUUAUACCCUU